UCGCUGCUCUUCUUCCCUCCCACUCCCACUCCCACUUCGAGCAGGCCCUCACCUUUCUCCAUUUAUCUCUCUCGCUCAGAUUCCCCUUUCUUCUUGCUUUCUCACUUUUUAUCUCUCUUCUUCAACCUUCUUUCUUCCUUCCACUCCAAUGGCUUCCGUUUCUGGAGAUAAAUUGUUUCCCGAUCCGCCCACCUCCAACGACGCCGAGCUGCCUUCAAUCUAAUUUAUUCCGCCGCCACGGUCACUCCCUCUCACAUUCUCUUGCCUCUCCGAGCAACCAAAGUUUCUUAUUCUGUUUUUUCUCUCGCUUCUCCGACCCUCCCAAGGUUUUAUCUUUUCUUUUUGUUUGUAUGUUUGUUUGUUCACUUUUUUGGGCUAUGUUUUAGUUUAUGACGCUUGUGUACCCUCUGUUUAUAGUUUUGAUUUGGUUCGAAGUGUUUGGAGUGAGGUGUAAGGCUGCUCUGGGCAAGAUUACUUAUUCCAAACACUUUUUCAGACUUCGAAUAAGGAUCAUCCUCAGGCUCUUCUGUGGCCUCCCACUUCAGGUUCAUCAUUGUCCAACUCAGGAACAUUUCCUCUAUGGAAAGCUCAAUCUCUGUUACGACCCCUUUGCUCAGCUUUCUUACAUGGAAGUCUCCCAAAAUUUCUUUGAGGCUAUGAAAGCUUGUACAUAUCUUGGAUCAACAUCCAUUGCGUCAAAGCUUCAUGGCCAACUUAUUUCCACUGGUUUGUGCUCCUCUGUUUUCCUCCAAAACCAUCUCUUACACAUGUACUCAAAAUGUGGGUUAAUAAAUGAGGCUCUUCAGAUUUUUUUGGACACCAAGCAACGCAAUGUCAUUACUUGGAAUACUAUUCUUAAUGGGUUGUUGGAUUCUGGUCGUGUGAGGGACGCAGAGAAGAUGUUUGAUGAAAUGCCCCUUAGAGAUCCUGUUUCUUGGACUGCAAUGAUGUCGGGCUACUUCCGUAAUGGUCAAGCUAUGGAUACUAUUAAACUUUUUGUUUUGAUGUUUCAGGAUUCAGAUUAUGUUCCUGACUUGUUUUGUUUCUCUUGUGCAAUGAAGGCUUGUAGUAGUGUUGGUUACAUAAGGAUUGCUCAUCAGUUGCACGGUCUGUCAGAGAAAUAUGGCUUUGGAAACAACAAAGUCAUCCAAAAUUCUAUCAUCGAUAUGUAUAUUAAGUGCGAUGCUAUUUAUGCUGCUGAGCAAGUGUUUCUAAGGAUAGAAAAGCCAAGCUUAUUUAGUUGGAAUUGUAUGAUAUAUGGUUACUCUAAAUUGCACGAGAUGGGACGGGCAAUUGACACUUUUAGACAAAUGCCUGAACGAGAUUCUGUCUCUUGGAACACAAUUAUUUCAGCAUUUUCUCAUCAUGGUUUGCACAUACAGAGCCUUGGUACGUUUGUUGAGAUGUGGAUUCAGGGUUGUCAACCAAAUUCAAUGACAUAUGCAAGCGUUCUUAGUGCAUGUGCUAAUAUCUAUGAUUUUCAAUGGGGUAAACAUUUGCAUGCUCGAAUUGUCCGCGUCGAACCCUUUUUGGAUGUUUUGGUAGGGAAUGGAUUGGUCGAUAUGUAUGCAAAAUGUGGACUUAUUGAUGCUUCAAAAAGGGUAUUUAACACAUUAAGGGAACACAAUGUAGUAACAUGGACGUCACUAAUAAGUGGAAUUGCACACUUUGGUAGUCAAGAAGAAGUUUAUGACAUUUUUUAUCAAAUGAGAAAAGAUUGUGUUAUUAUGGAUAAUUUCAUUCUUGCAACCAUUCUUGGUGUAUGUGAAGGGGAGACAAAUAUUUCAAUUGGGGAGCAAUUACAUGGAUUCACGGUGAAGACUGGGAUGAAUUCAUCUGUGCCCGUAGGCAAUGCUACUUUGUCAAUGUAUGCAAAAUGUGGAGAUUUUGAGAAGGCAAGUCUUGCUUUUGAAACGAUGGCUGCUCACGAUGUUAUUUCAUGGACAACAAUGAUCACUUCGUUCUCCCACAGUGGCAAUGUAGAAAGGGCACGAGAUUAUUUCAAUCGAAUGCCGGAGCGUAAUGUCAUAAGUUGGAAUGCAAUGUUAGGUGCAUAUUGUCAGAACAGUUUUUGGGAAGAAGGUUUAAAAUUGUACAUUCUUAUGCUAAGACAGGAAGUUAGGCCAGAUUGGAUCACCUUUGUUACCAUGAUCGGUGCUUGUUCUGAGUUAGCGAUUUCAAAACUUGGAACACAAAUUCUAUCCCAAGCUGUUAAAGUAGGACUUGGUUCUGAUGUUUCAGUUGUUAACAGUGCAAUCACCUUAUAUUCUAGAUGUGGUAGAAUUGAAGAAGCGCAAAAUCUUUUUGACUCAAUACAAGAGAAAAACUUGAUUUCUUGGAACUCAAUAAUGGGAGGAUAUGCUCAAAAUGGUGAAGGCAUGAAGGUGAUUGAAAUUUUUCAGAACAUGUUGAUGGCUGGUUGCAAACCUGAUCAUAUCACGUAUAUAGCAAUUCUCUCAGGUUGCAGCCACUCAGGUCUUGUAAAAGAAGCAAAAUAUCAUUUUAACUCCAUGACUAAAGAUUUUGGCAUCUCUGUAACUUUGGAGCAUUUUGUGUGUAUGGUAGAUUUGUUUGGUCGAGCUGGGUUGCUAAAGCUGGCUUUGGAUAUGAUUGAUCAAAUGCCAUUUAAGCCGAAUGCCAGUAUAUGGGGUGCUCUACUCAGUGCUUGUAGGAUCCACCAUGACACUGAAAUGGCAGAGUUGGCAAUGAAGAACUUGCUAGAAUUGAACACUGAAAACUUUGAAAGUUACAUUUUGCUUGCAAAUACCUACUCUAGUUUUGGGAGGCUAGAAUGCGUUUCUGAGGUGAGACAAGUGAUGAAAGAGAAGAGAGUACAGAAAGAUCCUGGCUGUAGUUGGAUAGAGGUGUGCAACAGGGUCCAUGUCUUUACUGCGAAUGAUACAAGUCAUCCACAAGUCAAGGAUAUUUACAAGGCAUUGGAAGACAUUGUUAAGAAGAUCAAAGAUGAUUAUGGUUAUUUUGAUAGGUCGAGUUUUGUUGGGUAUCGUAGUGAAGCUUGCUAUUGCUUUUGGUUUGAUCAACUUGCUUGAUUGCAUGCCAAUCUAUGUGAUGAAAAACCUUCGAGUUUGCAAUGAUUGUCACCAGGUGAUGAAAUUGAUUUCUCUUGUUGUCAUGAGGAAAUUUUUUAUGCAAGAUAGGUAUCGAUUUCAUCACUUGGAGAAGGGAAGUUGCUCUUGUGGAGAUUAUUGGUAACUAUAAAGUUAGAGUUUCGAUUCUUUGAUUUAUGAAAGGAAAGAUGCUUGGAAGAGAGAUUGAAAAGAAAUUGUGGAUUGGGUUUGAAAGGGAUAGACUUGUUGGAAAAGAAUUCUUCUCUAAAGGUGGUAGUGGUAAACUAUGUACUUAGCGUCGAUUUUCCCCUCCGCAUUCCAUGGUCUUUUGUGUCCAACAUUUGACUCAAAAUUUAAAUGGUACUUAUAAGAAUGACAUUGUAGCUACUUUAUUUUACAAUGCAUCGAAAACAUAUCGUGAAUCAAUGUUCUUAGAAUUGUGGAGAAGUAUUCUUGUAUUCCCUAAUGGUUUAGGAAAAUAUUUAAACGACGUUGGAAUAACAGGAUGCUCUCGUGUUCACUGCCCAGGAAGAUAAUAUAACAUGAUGACAACAAAUAAAGCACAGUCCAUGAAUUCUAUACUGAAAGAACCUAGAGAUUUGCUUAUUGCUUAUUGCUUCAUUCCUUGAACAUGUUCGAGCUUUGCUACAACGUUAGUUUUGGGAGCGUCGAGAAGAAAGCAUUAGAGUGAUGUCUACAUUGACUAAAUGGGAAAAGUUAGUUCUACAAAAGAAAAACAAGAACGAGCUUUGAUAAUGGUCAACCCAAUUGACUGUUACCAAUUCAAUGUUAAAGAUUUAGAUAAAGAGGAGGUCGUAAAUCUUCAUACUCAAGAGUGCACUUGUAAGGAGUUUCAAGCUAAGCAACUACCAUGCGCUCAUGUCAUUGCUGCAGCACGAGAUCGCAAUAUAGAUGUUUAUAGUUUAUGUGCUAACUAUUACACUAAUCCAGUCGGAAAUCAGUCGGAUUGGAAGACAUGUGAAGAAUUUGUACAUAUGACGCCUUACCUCCAAAAGUAGUCAAAAGUGCAUUUUUAUUUUGAAACUCCUACUGAAAUUUUAAUAGGUGCGAGAUACAUGAGAGAUAAAACAUUAAGGUGCGAGAUAAAAUAUUAGGGCCUAAUAAACUUGCAUAGAACCAUUCUAAACGCUUUAGAAAUGGUAGCAAUUUCAUUUUGAAACUCUUACUGAAAUUUUGGUAGGUGCGAGAUAAAACAUUAGGGUCUAUUAAACUUGCUAAACAUGCAUAGAACCAUCUAAACGGUUUAGGAAGAGUAGCAUUUUCGUUUUGAAACUCUUAGUGAAAUUUUUGUAGGUGCAAGAUAAAACAUUAAGACCUAAUAAACUUGUUAAAGAUGCAUAUAACCACUCUAAAUGGUUUAGGAAUGAUAGGAAUUUCACUUUGAAACUCCUAGUGAAAUUUUGAAAUGUGUGAGAUAGGUGCAAGAUGCAUGUGAGAUACACAAAUUCAUAAGAGGCUUACUAAAUCAAAUUGCUUGCACUUCUAAACCUAUAUUAUAACACCUUUACUAAAAUGAUUAAUAGUAGAAGGAAAGCCUAUAGUUCUUAUAUUUAGGUUUAGGAACAAAACUCAUUGAAUCACUUGUUUUCACAGGACGAAUCUUAAAUAAACUGGUUGCACAUGGGACGAAUUAAUAUGGGGAACUGCUUGGUUGUACAAGAUAACUAACCAAUAUAACAAAGAUUACAUUUUAUUGAAACUAUAUCACUAAAAACAUCAACAAAGUCAAUAACAAUAAUACGACUUUUGAUUAUAAUAACGUGAUUAAUUCUAAAAAUGAUAAUGUCUUUUAACAUUGUUCUACUAGUAGCUUUGCUGAAUUUGGAUGAAAUACCAAAUAUGCUAGGAUUAAUGUCCUAAACUCCAAGGUGUAUAUAUAUAUAUAUUUGUAGCAUACGGAGGAUGAAAAUAUGUGUGUCUGUAGGACAUAUGCAUUUAUUCUCUAUAGGUAUGUUACUUCCAAUCAUGAAUUUCUUACUCACUAGAAGUUAUGCAUUUCUUCUCACAGUUUUACAAAUAAUUUUUAUAAAUCAAAUGUGAACCAAUCAUGAGAAAAUAAAACAAUCAUCAUAACAAAUUUCUUGCAUUCCUUUAGUACAUAAUACUGUAGACAUAUGCAUCAAUUUGUUUGCUGAAAAAUCUCAAUGACAUCAAAGAGAAGGGUCAGACAAAUUUAAUGGUAUAUCUAAAAUGUGCUUAACAAAAAUCUCAUAUCUCUACAGACAACUUAAACAACAAUGAUAUAUAAAAGAAAAUAAAAACUCAGAUUUUAUUACUCACUUGACUUCAAAGAAGAUGAAUACGACAUUGAUAACGGAGAGAGGUGGAGAAGAAAUGAAGAGGUCCGAUGAAAACGACGCUGAAGUCGAAACUAUUGGCUCGAAGAGUUCACUAUAGUUUAAGUCGAAACUAAAAAUAGAGAAGCGUUCACGGAAGUUGAAGUCGAAACUAAAAACAGAGAGGCGUGGAGAACAAAUAGAUCUAAGAGGCGUUCAAUGAAGGCACCAAAGUUGAAUGAAGUGGAAGUGAAGUUAAAGUGGAAACGGGAGAGUUCAGAAAGAACGAGAUUUUUAGGUUAAAGAGAAGAAAAGGAGAGAAAAUAAACAAAGGACAAUUUGGACCUUUCACUCUCAAUUUGUCCUAAAAAUCUACUUUUUCAAAAUCAAUCUUAAAACUCAUUUACUCCUUUCUUUUUUACCCUAUUUUUGUCAAUUUCCCAAUCUUUUCUCCUUCCUUUGAAUUCUUUCUCACUAUCUGUUCAUAAUUUUUCCCUUCACAAUUUUUGGCCUUCCAAAAGACUUGCAGCUUCCUGGGCAAUUCAUAAAUCAAAGUCCACAUUCUCAACCGGGGAUCUCAAAGGCAUCUCCAUCCAAGUCAGGAAAACACAACAUAAAAUAUGUGUUUUUCAGUUUGAUGAGGAAUGAGAGGAAGCAAUGACGAGCAAGAGAAAGAAACAAGACUAAAUGGGAGCUGCAUGCCUCAUGCACAUUCUUAAGACAAAUAUGUAUUUCACAUGUGGCUGACGUAAUUAAGUGGAAAGUCCUUUUUUAACCUUGGACAAAUUUUCACUAAGCCCCUAAAAGGAGUCAUUUGUACAAAUUGUCCAAGAAAACAACCUAAGAUUACAGAAACUUUGCUGUGUUUUAUUC